UACAGAGGUCUCAAGCGUUGUUCGGAUUCAUUGGGCGUAAAGGGUGCGUAGGCGGCGCGGUAAGUCGGGGUGUGAAAUCUCGGAGCUUAACUCCGAAACUGCAUUCGAUACUGCCGUGCUUGAGGACUGGAGAGGAGACUGGAAUUUACGGUGUAGCGGUGAAAUGCGUGGAUAUCGUAAGGAAGACCAGUGGCGAAGGCGGGUCUCUGGACAGUUCCUGACGCUGAGGCACGAAGGUC
rnacentral:rRNA from 1 species